rnacentral:rRNA from 1 species
AUGGAUUGGAACCCGCAGGUGCUAUGUUGGAACGUGAGGGGGCUCAACAACAUGUCCAAAAGGAACGCGGUGAGGAACUUCAUUAGCGAAGCUAAGGUCAAUUUGGUGUGUCUCCAAGAGACAAAACUUGAUGUAAUUGACACUUAUGUGGCUAUGCAAUGCAUAGGGCCAUCCUUUGAUGGUUUUGCCUACUUGCCGGCUACGGAUACUAGGGUGGUAUACUUGUGGGAUGGGAUACUUCCAUUUUGGUGA